ACGCCUCAACUCUCAUGGUCUUCCAUGAUGAGCUUGGACUUUGGGGGUUUGCUGGCCCUGCGGCCGGCUCCUCUCAAAUGAAUCAGCUUGCCAGUGUUUGGUGGCAUCACGGGUGUGAUAACUAUCUACGCUCGCGGUCGUCUGCCAGGUAACCCUCAGCGAUGAGGGUUCAUUGGAGCUCAUAAACGUCUCUCCUCGGCGAGGACAACUUUUGAAC
rnacentral:misc_RNA from 1 species